CAGUCGCCACGGUAACACGGAAGGUCCAGGCGUUAUCCGGAUUUAUUGGGUUUAAAGGGAGUGUAGGCGGUCUGUUAAGCGUGUUGUGAAAUUUAGGUGCUCAACAUCUAACUUGCAGCGCGAACUGGCGGACUUGAGUGCACGCAACGUAUGCGGAAUUCAUGGUGUAGCGGUGAAAUGCUUAGAUAUCAUGACGAACUCCGAUUGCGAAGGCAGCGUACGGGAGUGUUACUGACGCUUAAGCUCGAAGGUGCGGGUAUCGAACAGGAUUAGAUACCCCGGUAGUCCCUGUCUCUUAUAC
rnacentral:rRNA from 1 species